UACGAAGGGGGCUAGCGUUGUCGUCGAAUCACUGGGCGUAAAGCGCACGUAGGCGGGUUGCUAAGUCAGGGUGAAGUACUCGGAGCUCAACUCCAGAACUGCCCUGAAACUUGAUUAGUCUUGAGGACGAGAGAGGUGAGUGGAAUUCCCAGUGUAGAGGUGAAAUUCGUAGAUAUUGGGAAGAACACCGGUGGCGAAGGCGGCUCACUGGCUCGUUUCUGACGCUCAGGCGCGACAGCGUGGGGAUCAAACAGG
rnacentral:rRNA from 1 species